rnacentral:rRNA from 1 species
GACGAACGCUGGCGGCGUGCUUAACACAUGCAAGUCGAACGGAAAGGCCCUGCUUGCAGGGUGCUCGAGUGGCGAACGGGUGAGUAACACGUGGGUGAUCUGCCCCUUAUUUUGGGAUAAGCCUGGGAAACUGGGUCUAAUACUGGAUAGGACCAUGCUGUAGGUGGUGUGGUGGAAAGAUUAGUUUCGGUAAGGGAUGAGCUCGCGGCCUAUCAGCUUGUUGGUGGGGUAAUGGCCUACCAAGGCGUCGACGGGUAGCCGGCCUGAGAGGGUGGACGGCCACAUUGGGACUGGGAUACGGCCCAGACUCCUAGGGGGGGCAGAAGGGGGGAAUAUUGCACAAUGGGGGCAAGCCUGAUGCAGCGACGCCGCGGGGGGGAUGACGGCCUUCGGGUUGUAAACCCCUUUCAGCCAUGACGAAGCCCUUGUGGGGACGGUAGUGGUAGAAGAAGCCCCGGCUAACUACGU